CACGUAGGCGGCCUGGUAAGUCAGAUGUGAAAGCCCGGGGCUUAACCCCGGAAGUGCAUUUGAUACUGUCAGGCUUGAGUAUGGGAGAGGGAAGUGGAAUUCCUGGUGUAGAGGUGAAAUUCGUAGAUAUCAGGAGGAACACCGGUGGCGAAGGCGACUUCCUGGACCAAUACUGACGCUGAGGUGCGAAGGCGUGGGUAGCGAACAGGAUUAGAUACCCUGGUAGUCC
rnacentral:rRNA from 1 species